rnacentral:lncRNA from 1 species
CUCAGAAUGAACAGUGGACGGGAGCGACCGGCAGGGUGAGUUCAAACACAAUGGAAGAGUUUUCCUUGGGAAGGAGUUUGGAAGGCUGAGGGUGGAAGCAGGCCUUUGUCAAGCACCUUGCAAGACCAGAUGUCCUGUGUGUGGUCUUCUGUUACCCCAGGAGUCCUGGAAGCAAGGUAAGU